AGAGCCAGGGAAGGAGGCAGGAGGGAUAGGGUGAGCAGAGCAGGCGACAGGGCAGGACGGAGAGGAGAAAGAGAACCGGGGCAAAGUGAAGUCGCUGCCGGCCGCUUUCUCCUCAGCCGCCGCCUCCUCCUCAGCCGCCGGUGCCGCCGCGGCCGGACUCACCUCCCCUAGCAAAGCCGGAUAGAGCGGAGCCAGCGGCGGACACGCGCAACCAGCCACCGAGGCCCCGCCCCCGCCUCACACUGACCGGCUGCCCUAGCCAAUCCACGCCCACCUGUCUGCGUCUGCCUCCAAUCCUGGGCCCGGAGCUUCAGACAGGCGCACUGUUCGGCCAGUGGCAACAAGGUGUGGGUCUCCUGGGGAAAUCCCGCCCCCGAUCCGGGAUGGGCAGAUAGAAAGACCAAUCAAAAGGCAGAGUCUGGCCUGACCGACAAGACUAAAAGCGAAUUAAAAACCAAAGAUCUCCGUGA